CUAACUUAAACGACUGCCUUUUAUUUUGAGACUGUGGCCUUAUUUUUGAGGUGAUCUUAUUGUUUCUUAUGAAAUAAAAUAAAUAGUAAAAUAGUAGAUUUUGUUUUGCUUAAAGCCUCUACUGUGAAAAAAAAAAUAGCUGGUGACCCUAUGUCUGCUCCCCCUACUCACACAAAUGUUUUCUUGUUGCAGUUGUCUUAAGUUUAUUGAUUGUGAAAUUUAGGAUAUCCUCCCAAAUUUUAUUUAAGCAAUUGGCCCAUCUUUCCUAAGCCUAAUGUCUAAAUUUGUCCUGACAGAGGACAAGCAAGCUUUCUGGGAAGCUUGAAAUCCAGGCCAUGUUCCUUUAAACAAAAUGACAUUUCUUAGUAAAGAGGUUCUCAGUGUCCCCUGCAGAAAUAUAUCUGAGGAUAAAACACUCUAGAGGUUCUUUGAUAGUGGUUCUGUCUGAAGCCCUAUUGGCAGGAUUGAGCAAGUCCAUAUCCAGAAUAUGUA
rnacentral:lncRNA from 10 species